rnacentral:rRNA from 1 species
AGAGUUUGAUCCUGGCUCAGGACGAACGCUGGCGGCGUGCCUAACACAUGCAAGUCGAGCGAGACAUACAGCGGAUAGGAAAUUUUCGGAUGGAAUUGAAGAAGUAUGUUUUAGCGGCGGCGGGUGAGUAACGCGUGAGCAAUCUGUCCUUCACAGGGGGAUAACACAGCGAAAGUUGUAUAAUACCGCAUAAGACCACGGUGUUGCAUGACACAGGGGUCAAAGGAGAAAUCCGGUGAAGGUGAGCUCGCGUCCGAUUAGAUAGUAGGUGAGGUAACGGCCCACCUAGUCGACGAUCGGAGCCGACCUGAGAGGGUGAUCGGCCACAUUGGGACUGAGACACGGCCCAAACUCCUACGGAGGCAGCAGUGGGGAAUAUUGGGCAAUGGGGGGAACCCUGACCCAGCAACGCCGCGUGAGGAAGAAGGUUUUCGGAUCGUAAACCUCUGUCCUUGGUGAAGAGGAAGAGACGGUAGCCAAGAGGAAGCCCCGGCUAACUACGUGCCAGCAGCCGCGGUAAUACGUAGGGGGCGAGCGUUGCCGGAAUGAUUGGGCGUAAAGGGCGCGUAGGCGGCCAUUUAAGUCUGGAGUGAAAGUCCUGCUUCAAGUUGGGAAUUGCUUUGGAUACUGGAUGGCUUGAGUGCAGGAGAGGUAAGUGGAUUCCCAGUGUAGCGGUGAAAUGCGUAGAGAUUGGGAGGAACACCAGUGGCGAAAGCGACUACUGGACUGUAACUGACGCUGAGGCGCGAAAGUGUGGGGAGCAAACAGGAUUAGAUACCCGGUAGUCCACACUGUAAACGAUGAAUGCUAGGUGUAGGGGGUAUCGACCCCUUCUGUGCCCAGUUAACACAAUAAGCAUUCCGCCUGGGGA